UAAAGGUUCUGUUGUUGCUGCUGAAAGACUCAGAUUAUUAUUCUAAGUGUGUGACAACAUUAUUAGGGGGGGAUCCCUACAGAAAUAGACCUUUUAGAUAGA